GUCGCAAUAACAACUAACAGUACAGUGUAAGUGUGCAAUAUCAUGCAAAUAAAAUCAUGGCUUCGUUCUUAUGUAAAUUAUUAUUUACCACAAAUAAAAAUAAAUUUAUAAGACCCAUUUCCGCAAUCUCGAAAAAUUAUUCAUUAACUCACUCAACAAAAAAACAAUACCACCAUGACAAUAAUCAUAGUGAAACAUCAAAGCUAACAAGGAAAUUUAAUUUAACCUAUGCGGUAUCAGUCGGCCUUUUCGGUCUUGCCUACGGUAUUUAUAAGUGCAGUGACAGUGACAGUGAUAGUGUCAAAAAUGCAAAAAAAAGUUUUGACAAAUACUGCAAUUUACUAGUACCAAAAGUUUUCGCAAAAUCCGACUCGUCAGACAUAAGCGAUAAUCGGAGUAAAUACAAUUUCAUUGCUGAUGUUGUGCAAACAUCAUUGCCCUCAGUCGUAUACAUUGAAAUCAAAGAUCAAACGAGACAUGAUUUUUUUACAGGAUACCCAGCGACGACCAGCAACGGAUCAGGAUUUAUUGUCAGUAAGGAUGGACUGAUACUUACCAAUGCUCACGUUGUUGUAAUAAAAAAACCAGGUGUACUUGUCAAAGUCAGACUUCAAGAUGGGUCAACUUAUACGGGAAAAGUUGAAAACGUUGAUCUGCACACUGAUUUAGCGACUGUACGAAUUAAUAAGAAAAACUUGCCAGUGAUGAAACUUGGAAGUUCAUCAGACAUACGACUCGGUGAAUUUGUCGUCGCUAUAGGUUCACCACUAGCGCUUAGCAAUACCAUCACUAGUGGAAUUGUUAGCGGAAAUAGACAGAGCGAAGAACUGGGUUUGGAUCAUAAACACAUGAGAUACAUUCAAACCGACGCACCAAUUACUUUUGGAAAUUCUGGUGGUCCACUAGUAAAUUUGAAUGGCGAGGCAAUUGGUAUAAAUGCGAUGAAAGUCACGCCUGGGAUUUCAUUUGCAAUACCGAUCGAUUAUGCUAAAGAGUUUUUGAGAAAAGUUCAACUACACAACCGAGACAAUGCUGGAGCUGAAAAUAAUACUGAACACGAUAAACGUCGUUAUGUGGGCAUUACGAUGCUCUCUCUUACGCCUGAUAUUCUCUUUCAGUUACAACAACGCAAUAAUAAUAUACCAAUUAAUAUAAGACAUGGUGUUCUUGUAUGGAAAGUCAUUUUAGGGUCACCUGCACACACAGGAGGUCUACGUACUGGAGACAUUAUAACACAUGUAAACGACGAGCCAGUGGUUGAAGUCGCAAAUAUCUACAAAGCUAUUGAAAAACCCGGCGCCUUGAUCAUGACCGUUUUGAGAAAUGGCGAGACACUCAGGUUGCGAGUCGAGCCUGAGGAUGUUUAAAUUAUUACCUAGCGUAUUUUAUAUUUUAUAUAUAUCGAGACACGCUAUGUCAAGAAGGAGUCAUUAAAAAUGUUUGCAAUAAAACCUGGGGUUCAGAUGCUACGGUGGAAAUACGGGUGAUCGAGUAGUUUGGUUUCGAGCCAAUAUUUUCACAGCAUAAUUUUGUUUAUUUUAUUACAUCGCAAAUCAAGCACAUGAUGAGGGAACAGAGUUAUCGAGCAUGAAACCCAAUACAACGCAGCUAUCUCAUCAAAGCUCAAUUAUAAUUAUAAAAAUAAUACCGACGAUAAUUACUGUAAAUAUACAAACUCAAAUAAUAAAGAACACAA